UUAGGAAUCUUCCACAAUGGGCGAAAGCCUGAUGGAGCGACGCCGCGUGAGGGAUGAAGGCCUUAGGGUUGUAAACCUCUAAAAGAGGGACGAUAAUGACGGUACCUCUUGAAUAGCACCGGCUAACUCCGUGCCAGCAGCCGCGGUAAUACGGAGGGUGCAAGCGUUAUCCGGAAUCACUGGGCGUAAAGGGCGCGUAGGCGGUCUGUUAAGUCCGAUGUUAAAUCCCGGGGCUCAACCCCGGAUAAGCGUUGGAUACUGGCAGGCUAGACGGUUGGAGAGGCGAGUGGAAUUACCAGUGUAGCGGUGGAAUGCGUAGAUACUGGUAGGAACACCCAUUGCGAAGGCAGCUCGCUGGACAACACGUGACGCUGAGGCGCGAAAGUGUGGGGAGCAAAC
rnacentral:rRNA from 1 species